GCUUUUUUUCUCCACUUCUCUCCAAUUUUGUGGGAAACAGAACGCCACAACGACCACUGUUCUUUUGCCGCCCCAGGUCCCCGACUCUCCGAGGUGGACAAGUGGCACCUGAACAGGGACCUGAAGCCCCCGUCGAGAAGUGAUCGACCAGCCCUAGGAACCCUACAGAAGUUGGUGACUCUACUUUAGAUCGUCCUCACACUCUAUCCUCAGAGGCAGAGGCCGAACUGCAGUUUGUUGAGGAGCGAUUAAAAACUGCCUUUGCUUACAGCUUGUAUCAGUGUCCCUCAGAACAGAUGUGCCCAAGGUCACCCUUCAGGAAAUGCUGAUCCAGUGCUUUAUUUGGAAAGACAGAUGAAGAGACUCUCUGAAGACUUCCUGGGCUACCUGGCUGCUCUUGGCCUUGGCCUUAGCCCCUGGCUUGGGUGACUUCACAAAGACUCCCCACAGGGGACCUGACUGUUUAUUCCAAAUUUCUGCCUUAACAACCGUCAUUUUCCCCAUCCCUCUGCAUCUCCUAUUAGGUCUAGCAAUUCUGUUCAUCUUUCCACCUUGGUAUCAAAUCACCUUCUGCUUGGUGAUGGGACUCCUGUUUGCCAUGGAUACGGGGCCAUCUUUGUGUAGAGAGACCUUCAAAGCUCAAAGAGAGCCUGGAUGAAUUGCAAAGUCAAAUGGAGCCAGGGCCCUCUGGGCAAAUGGCUUUUCUUGCCAAGGUAUAACCGCAGUGGCGGCAGCAACCUCUGUUCCAGCCAGUUUUCCUCCUCCCGCAGCCUCUCUCCGCAGCGACCUGGCUAAGGAGACUCCAACCAUCCUUUAACCUUCAAGGAAAACAAGGGGCCUGUGAUCUCCAGAGCUAAAUUGUCAUAGGCCCCACCCUCACUGGAUUUCUGAAGGUCAAGGCACAGAGUCAGCCCAGCCAGCUCUAUAAGGACUCAUAGCAAAUGUGUUUUCACAGAUCCCAGAUGGAGGCUCCUCAAAUACAUGGAAACUCAGUAAAUUCUGCUUCUAUUUUCAAAAUAAGUCCAGCAAGCUGACAACUAGCACCUUGGUCCAAGGCACUAUCAUCUCUCAAUUGACUUGGAUUACUACAGUCAGCACCUGACUGGUCCCCCGAAGCUCACCCUUGCCACCGUAAAGUCUAUUCUCACCACAACAGCCCAAAUGGUCCUUCUAAAAUGUGUGCUGUAGGGGCGCCUGGCUGGCUCGGUUGUUAAGCAUCUGCUUCGGCUCAGGUCAUGA